GUCCUCCUGAUCCAAUGGUUGCUGGUGCAUGGUAUGAACUUGUAGAACUCCUCCUGGACGCCUAGAAUACCACCUGAUUGGUUGAAAUGAUCUCCUGGUCGCCAAUGCCUGGUUUGAAGCUGAUUGAACCGGUUAGCUUCCAAUCGAGGUAAGUGCAGAACUGGUUUGACCGGUUUUGGAAUAUUGAUCAUAACUUCUGAUUUCCGAGUCCAUUUCUCCUAAUAUUUGGUUUUCUGAAAAGCUGAUGGAUCCUUCUUGAAUCCUAUGAUGGGCUUUGGUUCAGGCCGCUCUUUUCUUGGGCUUGAAUCUUUUUCCAAAGUCGGGUACUCGCAGAUGGACGGGUUGGAAAACCUCUGACUUGUAAAAUUCAUAACUUUUUGGUCCGUGAAUAUUUUGGCUCGAUUCCAAUUGGGAAGGACUCCUUCUUGAGUGUAGAAUCCAAUAAAAUUGGUUUCAUGUUGAAAGUCCUUCUUUUUGUGGAAAUAUACGCCUUGAACUGAACCUUGGUCGCUGGUACCUCCUAGAUGACCGGUUUGAACGGUUUGGUGAGACUCUGGUUGAACCAUAGAUUUCGUAACCAUAACAUUUAUGUUUGGUGGUUCAGCUGAAGUAAUGACUCGAUGUUGGUAAGUUUGUUUGUGCAGGUAGAAGCAGAUUUGGCAGCUACGAGUUAGUAUCCGUGCAGGUAGAAGCAGAAACAGCUUGAAGCAGCUAGUAUCAUAUUUUUAAUGUGACGUAUCGCGGGACGGCCCGUGAAGGCUUACACAUUUAACGGUACGAGAUUGGGCAGCUAGUUUGAGGACCGCAUCCCGCGCGGGACGGUCCCGCCGUAUACAGGGACGGGACAGGAUGUGAGAGCCCAAUUGCCAUCCCUAAUAAACCCUUGACGACGUUUUUCUGCCGGAGAGUUUAAAGUUCGCCGCAAGACGGAGAGAGAGAGACUUUUCACGAGGACGGUGAAGGAAUGGCUGAUUGCAGCAGCGGAGAGGAAGAUCCCAAGUGGAAAGCGGCCAUCAAUUCGAUAGCCACCACCACCGUUUACGGCGCUUCCGUCACGAAACCUGCAGCUACUUAACUAUAUGAAGAUGGAGAUUUUCGAAUUAAACCUAAAAAGCUAACGCAUGCCCAGAUCAAGGUGAAGAAUGAAAUGGUGGAGAACACGUUAGACUUUGUCAAAGAUCCUGUCAAUAUUCCCGAGGUUGAAGAAACCGAGAAAGAGUGUGGAGUUCGAUUAUUUAAGUGGUGUUCAACUGGCAUAGUCUUUGAUCAUGUAGAUGAGCUUGAAGGACCCCAAAAAGAAGCCUAAUUUACGCCCUGGCAGAGGAAUUAAUAGGAGCUCUAAAGAGUUUAAGAAAGGAAUAAAAUCGAUAGCUGUUGACGGCUCAGAUGUUUUAUCUGCUGCUAUGGAAGCAGCUAAGAGAGCCUCAUCCAGACUAGAGGUAACUAAAGAAGCGGCUGCAAAAAUUUUAAAGCCAAGAAAGAAGAAGAAAGAGUAGCGGUACGAGGCUAAAAAUGGCUACCUUCCGUUGCAUUGGUUUUGCAGCAAAACAAAACUUCAACACAGAGAUCUGCAAAUUCGUGAAAAGAUCCAUCCAUCCACUACAUUGGGAAUUUGAUCACUUGAAAAGAAGAAACAUAGAAUCACUUUGGCUACAAGCUAUUAAUGCAAGAGAUAGAGAGACAUCAUUUGUUCUUGACGUAAUGAGAGUGAAGUUCUUCAGAGAUGUUGUCAUCAUCUUUGAUCCAGACGAAAUCUUCUAAUCCAUCAUAAAUCUCCUCUGCUGCAUCUGCAUUUUUCUUGGCUUCUUGUUUAGAUGAUGCUGAUAAGAAAGCGUUCUUUAUUCCCUUAAUUAGUCUUUUACCGAGACUUUUCUGCGGCGGCGGAGAGGCUCCU